rnacentral:rRNA from 1 species
GACGAACGCUGGCGGCGUGCUUAACACAUGCAAGUCGAACGGAAAGGCCCUGCUUUUGUGGGGUGCUCGAGUGGCGAACGGGUGAGUAACACGUGAGUAACCUGCCCUUGACUUUGGGAUAACUUCAGGAAACUGGGGCUAAUACCGGAUAGGAGCUCCUGCUGCAUGGUGGGGGUUGGAAAGUUUCGGCGGUUGGGGAUGGACUCGCGGCUUAUCAGCUUGUUGGUGGGGUAGUGGCUUACCAAGGCUUUGACGGGUAGCCGGCCUGGGAGGGUGACCGGCCACAUUGGGACUGAGAUACGGCCCAGACUCCUACGGGAGGCAGCAGUGGGGAAUACUGCACAAUGGGCGGAAGCCUGAUGCAGCAACGCCGGGUGCGGGAUGACGGCCUUCGGGUUGUAAACCGCUUUCGCCUGUGACGAAGCGUGAGUGACGGUAAUGGGUAAAGAAGCACCGGCUAACUACGUG